UUUUCCCAGAGGGGAUGGAGGAGGUCUUGCUGUGCAGCAGGGUUAGGACAUUAGGCUUCACCUCUGCUUCUUGACAGCAGAAGCAACAUGGCUGACUGCCUCAUGCUCCUGCUGCCAAGAUGGAUUGUAUCUUCUCAGAAUGUAGGCCAACCUUCCUUAAACGGCUUUCUGUCAGUAUUUUGUCGCAGCAGUAAGAAAGAUGAACAAUAUGCUUUUAAAGACUAGAACUUAGGUGGAGUUCUGAUUAUGUAGUCAAUGAGGCUGCAUUCCCUCGUCUGGGACUAAAUAGGAUAUACUAAGAUAUACCUACUCCCAGUCUGUCGCUAAAGACCUAUACGAUUCAUGACCUUGAGAAACACUUUUUUUACUCAAAUUAAGAUGAGCACGGCUCCUGUGAAAACAAGAGUAGUCCUACUGUCUAACACCAGAUGCACUGGCAGCUCAGGUGUCAUGGAGGUGUUUUCUCUUAGACUGAGCAAUUUUCUGUAGCUUCAGGUGUACUGUUAAAUAUAGAUCAGCUUUCUUGAGUUAAAAAGAGAAAUGGAAAAAAAAAAAAAAGAACAGCUUGGACAUGUACCUGUGAUUAUGAAGUCAUCCUGGUUGCCCCUUUUCUUUCUCCCACAUCAACUUUCAGCUCAUAAACAGGAGCAACAACCAGGGAUACAAGAAUCAGUGCCUCAUACCAGCUUCCUGCAAAAAAACCUCUCAAAUAUACAGAACAGCCUGCUAUGGUCUGAAUGUCGACUUUCAAGAAAUGAGUGCAUCGAAACUGAACUUCUCAAGUUUACUUGGAGAUUACAUUUCUGCCAGCCUGUGCCCUGCUCAGUCCAGUAAAAUGCAGUAGAGGUAAAGAUGGGGCUGGAGGCAUCGCUCAGUGGUAGAGUCCUCACGUCUCACCUGCAAGGCCCUGAGUUCACUUCUCAGCACCAUGAGGGGAAAAGAAAAGGAAGAAUGGGGAAGCCUAGGCUGUAAGUACCUCUUCUUCCCUUUGAUCCCUGACACUUCCACAUGAAUAAGCCCAGCUCUCUUGCUAGAGGGUGAGAAGAUAAGAGGCCAUGUGGAGCAAGGACAGAUGACCCUCUUUGAGGACUCACACUCAUUAGAGAGGUUGCCUGAAGUCAGCAGAGGUGAUCUUCCAAAGAUGCACAAGUGAGCCAGGAUGAGACAGAGGAGCUGCCUAGCAGAACUCUGCCCCAGCGGCUGACCCAUGCAGUGCUAUACUAGGAAUAUCCAUCUUUUUUUUUUUUUUUUUAUCUUUAGAGCCAUCAAGCAUCGAGGUGGCUCAUUAUCUAGGAAAAGCUCACAGGUCUGUGAAGUUCAGGAUAAAACCUUAUCCAGUGGCACACAGCUAACUAGCACUCUGAAACAUUAUGAAGAUACACUUGGCAGGGUAAGACAUCCCUCAACUUUACUCAGACUCACUGAGGUGCUCAGUUUUAGAGGAGCUAAUAAGGGAAAGCUAGAAUUGUUAAAAAUACUCAGGUAAUGUAGGGAGAAGGGGCCCAGGAAAGAACAGCCUGCUCCUGAGCUCUUGAGACUUGGAAAUCCCCACCCCCAUGACUAAGUGUUAAAGGUCAAGCGAUACUUCUGGAUGCUUCAUACUUUUCCACUACCUCGUUGAAUAUGUUAAAACAACCCAUAAAACCUUCCUCUCCUCCCAACCCUUUGCUGUGUCUCUUCCCAUUGAAAAGCAGCAGCCAUACAGUUUCUUCUCAACAAAUAAAUCUCUUGUG
ensembl:lincRNA 4930528G23Rik RIKEN cDNA 4930528G23 gene